AUAUUUACUUGGCAGGUAAGAUACCAUGGUCAUGAAAGUGGUUUUCCCAUGGCAAGUCUUAUCCAUUGCACUCCAGAUGUGCCGACCUCCACAAUUUCUCCCAAUGUGGGAAACUUUACUGUAUAAUUUGUGGUAGUAGGGGACUACGUUCAAGCUUUUCUCUG